UCCUAUAGACUGCUUAUCAUUGCAGUUAAGAUAGUCUGGGGUGUGCUUGCUGGGAGUUCUUGGAGCUGAAGUUUUCCAAUUGAGGGCCCUUAUCUUUGGAAUGGGCUCCCUUUGGCGAUCUGCCAACAUGGGGCUUUGGUGAUCUUCAGUGCAUGAUAUAGGUCAUUUCUGCUUGAGCUAGUAUGUGGUUAAUUGUCUGACUUGCUGGAUUUUGUUUUCCCUUGGUGCUUUGUUUUGUAUUUUGACCUGCAGUGAUCACAGCCAUAUUUAUGUUACUCGUUAUAAGGUUUGUUUUUAUAACCAAAUACUUAAAUAAGUGCUUGAGAUCAAUAAAUAAAUAAUAAACCACAUAAAUGGCUAGUUGGUUAACAACAAGGUUCUUAUUUCAAUUGCUUACAGCUAUUGUCAGAAUUUAUUGGAAGGACGAGCACUUUUUCAUUAGAGAGCUGCUAAAUGACUCAUGAAAGACUGAAAUGUUUUGAGAUAAAUGUUAUAGAAAAGUCUAUUUCUCUUCUCUUUUUAAUUACUCAGGGCAUUGCAUCAAAACAGGAUAUUUGCUUUCUGAGCAGAUAAACUCUCAUUCCUCACCUUGAGUUGUAAUCAUAAUAAUCUCCACAGCAAUUAAUCUGAUGUCAGAAACAGAGGAUUGUGACUUCAGGCCAUGAAUGUUUAGAAUGAAGGAGAAAUAACUAGCAGGAAGAGAUGAAACCGUAUGAAAGAGAGAUCUUUUCCAUGCAAAUGCAGGGUCUGGGAAGAAGACCUAGUGACAUCCAAUGAGACUUAGGGCUUGUCUACACCACAGACCGGAUCGACAGGCAGCUAUCGAUCCAGCAGGAGUCGAUUUAUAGUGUCUAGUAUAGACGCGAUAAAUCGACCAGAGAUUGCUCUAGCAUCGAAUCCAGUACUCCGCCUCAACGAGAAGCUCAUCUCCUGUCGACACAACACAGUGACCUAAGUAUCAAUAUCAGGACUGAUUUUUCUAUGAGAAGACAAAAUUCCACUAUUUUCAGUCAUCACAAAAGACAAGACUGAAACUUGAAUAACUGAAAGGAGAGAAGAUGUCUAAUCCAACUCUUCUGAACCCUUAAAGAGAGAUUUUCUUUUUCUUAACUCAAGCUCCUGACAAACAGCUGGGGGAAAAUGCUUUCUUUGUGAAAUAGUCAACAUCAUGCACCUCCUGUUGUUCUUUCCUGUUAUAGUUUUAUGGGCUUCAGAAGGUUCUCCAGCACCUACAGGAAGGGAAGACUUGUAAUUACUGCUGUUUCUUUUUUAAAGGCAAAUGACUCCUCCUCCCCAACUUCUU